rnacentral:tRNA from 1 species
GAGUGUAGCUCAGUGGUAGAGCACUUUCCCAUCAUGUGAGAGAUUCUAGGUUCAAUCCCCAGGACCACACA